GCCAGGCAUGGUGGCAUAUGCCUGUAGUCUCAGGUACUCAGAGACCGAGGCAGGAGGAUCGCUAGAGCCCAGGAGUUCAGGGCAGCCUGAGCAACAUAGUGAGACCUCAUCUCUU
rnacentral:sRNA from 1 species